rnacentral:rRNA from 1 species
UACGAAGGGGGCUAGCGUUGCUCGGAAUCACUGGGCGUAAAGGGUGCGUAGGCGGGUCUUUAAGUCAGCGGUGAAAUCCUGGAGCUCAACUCCAGAACUGCCUUUGAUACUGAGGGUCUUGAGUAUGACAGAGGUGAGUGGAACUGCGAGUGUAGAGGUGAAAUUCGUAGAUAUUCGCAAGAACACCAGUGGCGAAGGCGGCUCACUGGGUCAUUACUGACGCUGAGGCACGAAAGCGUGGGGAGCAAACAGG